ensembl:lncRNA
GGCUAGGGGUUGAAUCAGAGCUGCAGCUGCCAGCCUACCCCACAGCCACAGCAACAUGGGAUCCGAGACACAUCUGUGACCCACACAGCAGCUCACUGAGCAGACAUUCAGCAAUCUUGGAUUCACUGCCCCUCUUACCUAUUUGUUUGUUUGUUUGUUCUUUACUGAGUGAACCAGUAAAUACUUGCGAACAUAACCUCUGAGAAAUGUAGUAUCUUGCUAUUUAAAUUAAUUUAACAAAAGUACACAGACAACUGCAACAUGUCUAGAAAUUUUCAAGUUACUGGAAAAUGACAGAUACACAAGGCAAGGACUUAUAAUCACCUUAGAGAGUUAAAGAUGUAGGAACAAUUGAUAAAACUCCCAUCUAGGGAAUCCCCUAUCGUGUGCAGUCUUUAAGUAGUGACACCUUCCCACCAUGAAUGUCCAGGAAAGCAAAACGGUCCCUCUCCCUGCCCCCGUCAUGCCAGCAAUUGUAGCUUACUUAGCUUCCCUAAUCAGAAAUACAACCUCUCAUAUGGGACUUCAAAUCCUUAACCAGUGACUUAAUAUAGAAAUUAGUGGAGUUCAAAUUUCCAUGCAACGUAGGGACAGCACAGGAAGGAUUAUUCCUCCAGUUUAAUAUUUUCUGUUGUGAAAGUUGCCUAACCCAUGCUUUUCAUUCACUUCCCAGCCUGGUCUUUAGCUUUUCUGUGAGACUAUGAAUCCCUGAUUUUUCAUCUUGAUUGCCAGAGUCAGGUUCGGUUGCUGACGACCAAGGGGUCUAUCAUGCCAAUACAGAAGGAAGGACAAAGUGUGGCUGCAGAGAGCUAAUGCUAUUACAAGGACAGUUAAAAAAAAUAUCAUUGUUAUACAAUACAAAUGUAUCUAGCAAGACUGUACACUGAAAAAGGUAAAUUUUAUGAUAGUAGAUUUUAAGUGAUGCGUAUUUUAUCACAAAAAAACUUGAGAGAAAACUAUGGUUAAAAAAGAUACAUUCACCCCAACGUUCACUGCAGCACUAUUUACAAUACCGAAGUCUUGGAAGCAACUUAAAUGUCCAUUGAGAGGAAUGGUUAAAGAAGAUGUGAUAUCUAUUUCUAUAUAUAAUAUUACUCAGCCAUUAAAAAAAAGAAUGAAAUAAUGCUAUGUGCAGCAACAUGGAUGGACCUAGAGAUUAUCAUACUGAGUGAAGUCAGACAAAGACAAAUAUUAUAUGAUAUCACUUCUAUGUGGAAUCUAAUAAAAAAUAAUACAAAAGAACUUAUUUAUAAAACAGAAACAAACUCACAGAUUUCAAAAUCAGUCUUAGGGUUACCAUAGGGGAAACUGUGGGGUGGAGGAAGGAAUUGGGAGGAUGGGAAUAACAUAUACACGUUACCAUAUAAAAGAAAUAAUUAACAAGAACCUACUUAUAACACAGGGAAAUCUACUCAAUAGUUGGUAAUAACCUUUACAGUAAAAAAGAAUGGAAAUAUAUAUGUAACUGAUUCACUUUGCUAUACACCUGAAACUAAUACAGCAUUUUAAGUCAGCUAUACUCCAGUAAAUUAUAUUUUAAAAACUAGAAAAAAGAACUGGAGGAAGCUUUUGGUCUCAAUUAUGUAAGCAUACAGCAAAACUUCAAAGUGUAAACUUAAAACAUGUGCAAUUUAUUUUAACUCAAUUAUACCUCAUUUAAUCUAUUUACAAAACAAAUAUUAAAAACUUGUCACCUCUUAAUCAUUUUAUGCUUUAAAAAAAAGACUAUAUCAUGAAAUGGAUGCUUUACAAUGUCUGCACUGAGGAAAUAAAAUUUGCAUUGAUCUUUGAGAGCUGGAUAAGAAUUAAAUGAGUCCCAAAAAGGAAAGGAAGAGAAAUUUCUGAAGAGGCCUUUACCAGGUGAGUAUGGAAAGAUGGCUGUACAUAGUAGGUGCUGGGGAAUAGAACAAAGCAUUGAUGUUAAUGAGUCAUGAGGGUAAAUAUGUUAAAUGAACUUCUAUGCAAGAACAAAGAGAACUGUGAAUAGAAAUCAAUACCAAGAAUAUGAAGUCAUAAAACUAAAGAACUACAUCUGCCAUUAUCUAAGCUUUUAAUAGUUACUUAACAUCUGCAUUCUUUUAUGUUACUGUUCUUUUCAACAGCAUAUCAUAUAAAUUCCUUUGUUGAAUCUGUUUUCAAAUCUCCUCCUAAUGUGCCUUUGUGUGACACAAAGCCUAGAAAGUUAAAAACUGAACUCAGAUUCCCUUGCGGUUAGCUUUCCAGAUAUUGUGUUGUGCCAUCAGAUGUAUUCAGGCAAGCCUAGAAUUUGGAUCUGAAGUAAAUGGAGAAGAAAUGCAUGAGACAUCCAUUUUGCUAGUGGAAACUGGAUCAAAGGCAGCUUGGAGCCAGGUGAUUCCACCACAGCUUCCCAGUUAAACACAGUCAUGGCAACAUCAGCAGCUCCCUUGGCAGCCCAGGUGAGGAGAAUGGCUCUUAUAGGUGUUCCUGGAAGCUCAGCCUAAAGUCUGUUCCUUGAGCUCUCCCAAAGAUUCAGCAAGCCAUGUCACACUCUGUAAUGAAUCUUGUUCUGCUGAAACUAGCUCACUAGGUUCUGUUCUCUGUAACUAACGCUGACAAAUAUUUAUUCUAACUGGAUCAGCUUGGAGAAAAAAUUAUCAUGUUAUUAACAGAUUGCUAAGGAAUAGCAUGUUUAGGUACAAA